GGGGUUAUGGCUCAGUGGUAGAGUGCUUGCUUUGCAAGCAUGAGGCCCUGGGUUCAGUCCCUAGCACCA
rnacentral:tRNA from 1 species